CCACCAAUGAUAGUCCAAUAAUGAAGAAAAAAGAGAGGGACAAAAACAUCACCAUUUGGCCUCGGGGCUUUAUCUUCCCCAAGAGACUAGAGGGCCCCCAGCACCUCCUCAGCAGACAUAGAAUGAGUCAAGGCUACAAUCUUCGCAUCAAAAAUGCUGCACACAGGCUGGGACCCCUGAAGGGGGCAUCCUCAUUUAAGAGAGCGAUCCAGCGUGAUAUAAAGAACUAAAAAAUCUGAUCCCUGAUCUCAUCCCUAUCCUCCACCACACUACCAUCGUUCUUCUUUGUGUGAUUGGUAGACUUUUGGAUCAUCGUCGAC
rnacentral:lncRNA from 1 species